rnacentral:rRNA from 1 species
UACGGGAGGCAGCAGGGGGAAUAUUGCACAAUGGGCGCAAGCCUGAUGCAGCGACGCCGCGUGGGGAUGACGGCCUUCGGGUUGUAAACUCCUUUCGCUAGGGACGAAGCUUUUUGUGACGGUACCUAGAUAAGAAGCACCGGCUAACUACGUGCCAGCAGCCGCGGUAAUACGUAGGGUGCGAGCGUUGUCCGGAAUUACUGGGCGUAAAGGGCUCGUAGGUGGUUUGUCGCGUCGUCUGUGAAAUUCCGGGGCUUAACUCCGGGCGUGCAGGCGAUACGGGCAUAACUUGAGUACUGUAGGGGUAACUGGAAUUCCUGGUGUAGCGGUGAAAUGCGCAGAUAUCAGGAGGAACACCGAUGGCGAAGGCAGGUUACUGGGCAGUUACUGACGCUGAGGAGCGAAAGCAUGGGGUAGCGAACAGGGAUUAGGAUACC